rnacentral:rRNA from 1 species
AAGUCGUAACAAGGUUUUUCCGUAAUACUCCUUCGAAGCCUUCACACAGCGACUAUAAAUAUCGUGUGCAGUCCUUUUCAUUAUGGGCUACGUCACUAAAGUGCUGGAAUACAACCGUAAAUCAGCAGCCAAAUAGAGUUAGCCCUCACGUUUGGUUCACAGAUUAGCUAGUGAUGGUCAGUUGAGUGAACAGUUGAGAUUCUUCAAAGUAUCGUGAUUGAAAACGUAGGGACAUAUUUACCAGAUUAGAGUGAAAAUCCAUCAGAGAGGCUUCAUCUGGCGUUUACUACAUCAGUCAAGGUUACCCAACUUGGUCUUGAGAAGUUCACCAUCAUUGAUCAAGAUAUAAUCGGUCUCUGUGGCACUCAUGGAGAGGAGACGUUCCGUAGGUGAACCUGCGGAAGGAUCAUUAUCGAGUACGGGUCCCCUGGGCCCGAUCUCCAACCAUUGUCUACCUUACCACGUUGCUUUGGCGGGCCCGUCUUUGACCGGACCGUUGGGGGUGUAUAGCCCCUGAUCAGCGCCCGCCAGUAGCCCCCGUAAAAUCCUUGAAGGGUGCCGUCUUAAGUCUGUAAAUAAAGUAACCAAAACUUUCAACAACGGAUCUCUUGGUUCUGGCAUCGAUGAAGAACGCAGCGAAAUGCGAUAAGUAAUGCGAAUUGCAGAAUUCCGUGAGUCAUCGAAUCUUUGAACGCACAUUGCGCCCUUUGGUAUUCCAAAGGGCAUGCCUGUCCGAGCGUCAUUAUCCACCCUCAAGCCCGGCUUGCGGUUGGGUCGCGCUGUGGUCGCCCGCAGCGGACCCGAAAGGUAAUNCGCGCCUCUNNCCCUGGAUGCAACGAGCUUUUCAGCACGCAUCCCGGGCGGUCCUCGACGUCGUCGCANCCANCCAUCUCGCAGAUUGACCUCGGAUCAGGUAGGGAUACCCGCUGAACUUAAGCAUAUCAAUAAGCGGAGGAAAAGAAACCAACAGGGAUUGCCUCAGUAACGGCGAGUGAAGCGGCAACAGCUCAAAUUUGAAAUCUGGCUCCUCCGGAGCCCGAGUUGUAAUUUGUAGAGGAUGCUUCGGGUAAGGCUGCGGUCGAAUUCGCUUGGAACAGCGAGUCAUAGAGGGUGAGAAUCCCGUCUGAAACCGCCAGCUGCGCCCGUGUGAAGCUCCUUCGACGAGUCGAGUUGUUUGGGAAUGCAGCUCUAAAUGGGUGGUAAAUUUCAUCUAAAGCUAAAUAUGGGCCAGAGACCGAUAGCGCACAAGUAGAGUGAUCGAAAGAUGAAAAGCACUUUGAAAAGAGAGUUAAACAGUAUGUGAAAUUGUUGAAAGGGAAGCGCUUGCAAUCAGACUUGCGCAUGGCGGUUCCCCCGGUCUCCUGGCCGGGCUACUCCGUCAUGUCCAGGCCAACAUCGGUUCGGGCGGCCGGUGAAAGACCCUGGGAAUGUAUCUACCUCCGGGUCGACUUAUAGCCCGGGGUGCAAUGCGGCCCACCCGGAUCGAGGAACGCGCUCCGGCUCGGAUGUUGGCGUAAUGGUUGUAAGCGGCC